GCCAGGCCUGGAAUUCUUUGAGUUCUUUGAGAGGAGGUGUGGAGUGGAGCCCUCUGCGACUUGGUUGUAUCUAGUGAGCUGUGUGUGGUUGUAUCGGAUUUUACUGUACUGUGUAUAUGUUUAUGUAUCAGUGUGUGUAAGAGAGUGUGUGUUGACAGAUUUGCCUGUGUGUGAGUGUGUGUACACUUUUGCCUGUGUGUUUGUCAGUAUAUGUAGGAGUGGGUGAGUUUACAGGUUUGUAUGUGUGUAUGUGUUUGUAUGUGUGUACUUCUUCUUGUGCGUGAGUGUGUGUCCCUGUGUGUGUGUGUGUGUGUGUCUGAUGUGUGUUUUUCCACGUUUGCUUGUGUGUAAGUAUGUGUGUUUUGUGUGAAUCUGGGUGUUUGUAAGAGUUUCUGUGAGUAUAAGUUUACUUCUGCGUAUUUCUGGGUGAGUGCCUCUGUGUGUGCCUGUGGUGUGUGUGUGUGUGUGUGUGUGUGUGUGUGUGUGUGUGUUUGUGUGUGUGUGUGUGUCUGUGUGCCUGUGUGUGUUUGUGUGUGUCUGUGUGUGCACGUGCCCAUCUCCUUUUGCCCCUUUUAUCUAUAUUACCUGCACCUCAGUGCAAGAGAAUGUAGAGGCAGGCCAGAAGUCACCCCGGCUGCUGUUCCUGAGAACCAUCUGGAAUCCAUUCACUGAGGGACUCCAUCCCUGGACUGGAAGCUACAGGUGGGACUUAUGUAUCGAGGUCUCCCAGCCCAGGGACAGGGAUGCAUUGAUAAAGUGGAGAGAAGCAGACUGGAAUGGUGCAGAGGUUAUCCUGCCAACAACCCCUAGCCCCCAGCAGCAUGACAAUGUACAACAGCAAGCAGUUUCCCAGCCAGCCUCACUCCCCAUAGACAGACUUCUUCCAGUCCCUCCUUAUGCCAAGGGAAAGAAAAGCAAAAAAAAAAAAAAAAAAAAAAAAAAAAAGCAGGAGCAGGGAAAGAAAAAUUGCUCUACUCCCAGUAGCCAAGGACCAGUCCCUCCCACCCUCCUAUCUGAGCCCAUAACCAGCUACAGCCCAGUCCUGGGCUCAUAUCUAGAGGCACAUGGACCCAGGCAGAUGAGCCCUUGAAUACAAUCGGCUCCUCUACAGCAUUCUAUGUGUGUCAGUCCUGAGUCUGUGAUCUGAGGUGCUCUGCACAGCUAUUCAGAGAAGCUUUCUAUUGAUCUCUGUCAAAGAUCUCUCUGUUGGAUGUCAGAGGAGAGUGUCCACCCAGUAUCAGUCCUGGGACUGUUGUCCUCUAAUGUGUUAGCCCAUGUGAACCUCCCCACAGAGCCCCACCUGUCCUUGUGCAACUCCUCCUUGAUCGCCUUUUAUAGGAAGAUAUUUAGAGUCCCUUGCACGAGGCAGGGAAAAUGGCACACAGCUGAGGGUGGUAGACAAAGCUGGGAAGACAUCAAAUAUUGAGUUGGUGUGAGGCUCCCUAAGCCAUGCUUGGGCAGGUCUGUGCCAGCGAUCCCAUAAGACACUUUGAUUCUCACCAUGUACACAGCAGGAACCAAUUGCCAGGUCUACCCUCUGCCCAGAGCAAAGGGAGAUUGGUACUUGGAUUCCAACCCUUGCCCAUUCCUUUAAUACCUGACCUUGUAACCCUUGCUCCCUUUGGGGCUCAACAGUCCCCCUCAAAUGUAGACAACAAUGUCUAGAUGGUUUUCACAGCUUUUCUUGCCUGAAACUGUGCUGUGUUUGAUACUACAAACCAGGAAGUAGGGACUUGAACUUGAGAUCACUGACUCAGGCUAGGGAGGACUCCAGAGCACCUGAGCUCAGCUGCAAAGGCAGAAGCUGAACCAGAGUGAGCAGAGGUGGCACAUUUUGCUCUUUCUUUCCUUUUCUGCAAUCAGGCCUUUCAAUGAACACUACAGAUGAGGAUCUUUCCUCCCAGGCUUAGUGUCUGCAGUCAUGAGGGUCCUCUCCAGGGGAUUCAAAGCCCCAGAAGAGUCUUCAGAAGAAAAGGGCUACACACUGCACUGCCCCCCAGCACUCUGAAAAACAGAGACAAUUUCUGGGCUUGGGCCAGUCAGUGCUCAAUAGUUAGCUUCUGGCUGCACUGGCUGCUCACAAAUAACACAGCUGCCUGGGUCCUGUGGCCUGGCUGUCACAGACUGUGAUUGAGAAUUUAUUUCAACGGUGUCAGCAUAGCCACUCUGUUCCUUCUGGUCCCAGGUUGCACAGAGCUCCUUGUCCUCAUACACGCCUGUUCCAUCAUUGGACCUUAAUAUUUGAAGUGAGCCCUACACUCAGGAUGGACUUGGUUUUCUAAACAUCAUGCCAACCGCUGUGUGAGAGGAAGUGUCUGCAUGUAUAUCCAUACCCCCUUAUGUGCCUAGGUGUCCAUGUAUACCACUACCCCAUGUCCUGUCAGAGGCCAUCCUCUGGACAGGUCCUCAUGCCUGCAUGUCAGACCACCUGUCUUCAAGCCCCAACCCCUCCCCACUCCAUGGAUGCAGAGCUUGUGGGCUUUGCGGAUGCAUCCAACAUUGAUGGGGGUUUUGGGGAUUCAAACUCAAGUCCUCACCCGUGGGAGGCAAGUGCUCUGCCUAUCCCUGCAGCUUUGUCUCAGGUGUUUGAUUAUAACCUAGAGCCUUUCUGAGGGCUUAUGAGAACAGUGUCCUCUUGAUGGGUCAGUUUAGAAACACAGCUUUGUCGUUUUUUAUUUUUAUAACACUGUACCAUCAGUUUGAGGCUAAUCAUUCAGAAUUCAAAGAAAAAGUGACACAGCGAGAAUAGACAUGAGGACUUUAAAGCAGGAGGCACAGCAAACAUUCAAAACAGAGAACUAAGGAGAGUAAACAUCUUACAGGCUUUGAUUUCUAAAAGCCUAAAAUCUCUCCAUAGCCCACAGAAGCCAGAGCCUUGAAGCCCUUCCCAACCAUGUCAUGACAGGUCCUAUUGUGACCUCAUGAGGAGUGACUGUGAGGAGGUCCAGCCAACAGACGUUAAGCUGUUGCCAGGCCUGGACCUCUUUGAGUGCUUUGAGAGGAGGUGUGGAGUGGAGCCCUCUGCGACUUGGUUGUAUCUAGUGAGCUGUGUGUGGUUGUAUCGGAUUUUACUGUACUGUGCAUAUGUGUAUGUAUCAGUGUGUGUAGGAUGAUGUGUGUUGACAGAUUUGCUUGUGUGUGAGUGUGUGUACACUUUCGCCUGUGUGUUUUUCAGUAUAUGAAGGAGUGUGAGUUUACAGGUUUGUGUGUAUGUGUUUGUAUGUGUGUACCUCUUCGUGUGUGUGUGUGUGUGUGUCCCUGUGUGUGUGUGUGUGUGUGUCUGUGAUGUGCGUUUUUCCACGUUUGCUUGUGUGUAAGUAUGUGUGUACCUGUUCAUAUGUGAUUGGGUUUUGUGUGAAUCUGGGUGUUUGUAAGAGUUUGUCUGUGUGAGUGUAAGUACACUUUUGUGUAUUUCUGUGUGUGCCUGUGUGUGCCUGUGUGUGUGCCUGUGUGCCUGUGUGUGUGUGUGUGUGUGUGUUGUGUGUGCACACGUCUUCAUCCCGUUUUACCUGCAACUCAAUGCAAGAGAGUGUAGAGGCCAGAAGUCAGCCCGGGCUCCUGUUCAUGAGGUAGCAUUAGUACUGAUAAAAUGCCUACAGAGACUGAGGAGGAGUUACCACCUCCUAGCCCCGAUCCCAGUAUCUCUGAGGAGUGAACCUUUCAUUCCCAAUAUAAAGUAUUGAAGACUAUUGGAAAAGGAAGCCAUGCAAAGGUCCUCCUGGCCCACCGCCGGCUCACAGGAACCCGAGUGGCGGUCAAAGUUCCCCGAAAGGACAAGCAGUGGUUCUGGCCAGCCAUGACAGAAGCAAACAUAAUGAGAAAGAUCAACCACCCCAACAUUGUUUCUCUCUUACAAGUCAUUGAAAAUAAAACGAGAAUAUACCUCAUAAUGGAGCUGGUGGAAGGCCAACAACUCUACCAGUACAUCAGAGAGUCAGGGCGUAGAGGAGGAUGAGGCCCGGCAAAUAUUUGAACAGAUAUUGUCAGCAGUGAGCUACUGCCAUGGAAAGGGGAUUGUUCACCGUGACCUGAAACUGGACAAUAUAAUGAUUGAUAAAAACAAAAAGGUCAAAGUCAUCGACUUUGGGCUUAGCACUGAAACACAACCUGGACAAAUGCUAAAACAGCAAUGCGGUGCAUACUCUUUUGGUUCCCCGGAACUCUUCCUUGGACUUCUGUAUGACGGGAUGAAGAAUGACAUGUGGAAAAUAGGAGUGGUCUUGUACUAUAUGGUAGUGGGAAAGCUCCCGUUUGAUUCAAUGAUCUUCCAAGAAUUACAAAAACACCUUGUUGCAGGGGUGUAUCCUGCCCCCUGUGGGGUUUCAGAAGAACUGUAGAACCUACUUAGUCAAUUUCUAACAGUAAAUCCAAUGUAUAGACCAACAGCCAGCGAGGUGAUGAAACAUGCCUGGUUCAAAGAACACGGGAAGGGGUUCACAGGUCGUUAUGAAGAACUGCUUGCCCUCAGGCCAGAUCCUGAAAUUUUGGCCGCAAUGAAAUGCGAGGGAUUUCAAGACUCUGUAAUAAAAUACUCUCUAAUGAAAAGAAAAUAUAACGAGGAAAUGGCAACUUAUUGCUUUCUACAACAGCAGGCUCUCCAGGGUGAUGGCUGCAAAGCCCAGGCACAGCAGGUGAGUCCCAUUGCAGGCCCAUUCCCUAGCCUUGAUCCUGCUGCUGCUUUUAGAUUAGAACAAAAGAGGAGUGGAUGCCUGCCAGUCCUUGGCACCUUGCGGGUGUCAUCCUCCCAUGGUCAAGUAUCUCACUAUGGCCAGAAGGUUCAUACAUAAGGAGGAAGAAGGUCCACUGUGGCUGGUUGUCUCAGGCCACUACCGAUGACACCUACACAGGACCACUAUGACAAAUGUGCCAUGAGUGUCCCAUGCAUUCAAACAACAAGCAUCUUCAGUGAGAAGAGUAGCAAUAAGGAAAUCAAAGAAGAUAAUCUACUCUCCCACAGAGCCCCAUUAGAGGAUAAGCCCAUCCCCAGCAGGGUCCGGCACAGAGGUUUUAAGGGGGGGACCAGGAAUAUAGCAAAUGCUCUGAUAAAGCUGUGUUGCUGCUUGCCAAGGAGAAAGGAACCUCGCCUGGGGCAGAACAGAAUCUCCCCCCAGAAAUGAGCCACAGGGAGAGUCGAGAGAACAAGCAGCAGGCAUAGCCCAGGUACCUUUGUGCUUUGUCCUUUUCAGUUUGCUCUAUGCUGGUCCUUCCUCUGUCUCUGGUUUCCAUUUUCCCCACAAUUCUUACCUUGUAUCUUCUCUAAGUUCUUUAUGAGGUUUACCCAACACCAAGCCUUCUCCCUCUUCUUGAUUUCUCCUCUUCCCAGCAGGGCCCCAAUAGGAUUGAUGAGUUCCCCACUCUACAGAGUUUUCUUGUUGACCCAUCCCUUCAGAUGGACUCCAGCUCCCCCUUAAGCCAAUAGCUCCCACAGGGUGAGGACUAGAGGUUUAUGGGCUCAUGGACUCCUCCAUGGGCUACUGAUCUUUUCACAUGUGGUCAUCAAUCACAAGUGCCUCAGAACAGAGUCUUAUGUUUUCAAAUGUAACAUCCCAUUUCAUUAAGCCUCAAAACUAAUUAACAAGGUUUGUCAUUGAAUAAGUAUCAACAACCUAGUUUGCUGGUUAUUGUUGAUGGUCAGAAGCAUGCAUAGUUUUUUGCAUGCUGAUUUUUUCGUUCCUAAG